rnacentral:lncRNA from 11 species
AUUUAGUUGCUUAUUUAGCUCCUAAUCUGUAGCUCCUAGUUUUGUUUUGUUUUUGGAGCGAGAGUUUGGUCAGUCUUUUAACCUUGAGCUGUCUCGCAGGGAAUGUAUGAGCCUCCUCUUCCCCCGCUUCCUCUUCCCUUGUUAUCUUUAAGCUUUAGUUAUUUAAUCAUUGUAUUAACUUAAAUGAGAGCGGAUGGCUGCGGAGGGGAACUUGCGAACCACGUUCACCCUUCUCUGGGAGCUUCCUCUCUGCAGGUCUGCCGGGGAGUCUGGCAAUCCUCCUUGAGGGAGGGUCACCUUCCUGCCGUCGGGAGAUUGCUGCUGUGGGUUUGCUACUAACCAACCUCGUCCCUUUGGCUAGGGGAGUUCCAGGACCCCCACCCGUUUUGAGAAGGGUGCAGGUUACCUGAGUAUGUGGAGCUUCAGGAACCUGUGGCAGCCUCCAUCUUGCCCUCACCCGGAAGUCAGAAACAGAGAAGGAAUCUUGUAUUACCUUUUCUGCUGUAAGAAAAUUGCACAGACAGACUACAAACAGAGGCACAACUCUGUGGCCCAAAUGAUUCAUUGGAACUUAUGCCUCAAGUACCACCUCCCUGCAGUAAAGAACUGGUGGGAUCACAAACCUGCAAAGGUUGUGGAAAAUGAACACGCAAAGAUACUGUGGGACUUCCGAAUCCAGACUGACAAAGUUCUGGAACACAACACACCAGACAUCACAGUUGUAGAAAAGAACAAGGUUUGGAUCAUUGAUGUUGCCAUCCCAGGUGACAGUCGCAUUGAUGAAAAACAACAGGAAAAACUCAGCCGCUAUCAGGACCUCAAGAUUGAACUUCAAAGACUCUGGCAGAAACCAGUGCAGGUGGUCCCGGUGGUGAUGGGCACACUGGGUGCCGUGCCAAAAGAUCUCAGCCAGCAUUUGGAAACAAUAGACAUUGACAAAAUUACGAUCUGCCAACUGCAAAAGGCCACCCUACUGGGAUCUGCACGCAUCAUCCGAAAAUACAUCACACAGUCCUAGACACUUGGGAAGUGUUCGGCUUGUGAUUUUGUGAAACGAAAUCCAGCAUAUCUAUCUUGUUUGCUGUGUCAUACAACGUCGUUGUGUCAAUAAUAAUAAUAAUAAUAAUAAUAAUAUCAUCCCCUUUUGUUUUAAAAGACACUGUUUCAUUUUACAAAUCCUAUCAGAUGCUUUAUGUGUUCCUAUUCUGUCCCAGGCUCUGAACCAUCACAUGAGCAAGUGCAGUCCCCAACCACUCUACAUUCUCCUCUUUUUAAACCACAGAAAACUUCAAUAUUGAAAGCCAAGGUUAGUAUGGACCACAUCCCAUUGGGAGGGAUUUUAAACCCCUCUCCCAUGAUCUGUCUUUCCCAUGCCUUCCUUCCCUCCAUUAUACCAGUGUUAUUAUAAACCACUUUGCCACAAUCCCCUCCUCUUUGACUUUCCUCACCUCCAUUAUGCCAGUGUUAUGUUAGCAAUAGGACAAUUUUGAAAGCCUCAAUUACUAUGAAGGAAAAAAUGCAGUGAAAACAAAGUGGUGAUAUCUUAAAAUAGUGCUAUUCCUUAGGAUUACAUUAAUUUUAAACAAUUACUUUUCCAGGCUCAUGCAAAACAAUUUUGUAAAAGAAGUGGAGCAUAGGAGAUAGCUCAUAAGAAUGCCUAUUCCUCCACAUCACUAAAAUGAUUCAACAUGGGCAAAUCUGACAGUUCUCUUCCCAUGUGCUUUUAAUCACAUUCUCUCAUUUCAGGUGCAUCAGGAGCUCAAAAGAUGGUUUCUCCCCAUCUCCUGCCCCCACCCCCCUUUUCUCUGCUCUUCUACUACAUUUCAGGGGCAAAGUGCAAUGGAUGACAACCAGAAGUAGCUUUAUGUCGUGUGAAGGGUCUGUGGCACUUUGUCCCUGAAAUGCAUUA